CGCCGUGAACCGUCAGCCCCGCGGGAGCAGCGAUACCCGGAACUCCUGGAGAGCCCGCACAGUGCCGU
rnacentral:SRP_RNA from 1 species